rnacentral:rRNA from 1 species
AGGAUGCGAGCGUUAUCCGGCUUUCUUGGGUUUAAAGGGAGCGCAGACGGGUUUUUAAGUCAUCUGUUAAAGUUCGGGGCUCAACCUUUACAUUGCAGUUGAUACUGGAGACCUUGAGUGCAGUUGAGGCAGGCGGAAUUCGUGGUGUAGCGGUGAAAUGCUGAGAUAUCACGAAGAACUCCGAUUGCGAAGGCAGCUUGCUAAAGUGUAACUGACGUUCAUGCUCGAAAGUGUGGGUAUCAAA